GACGAACGCUGGCGGCGUGCUUAACACAUGCAAGUCGAACGGAAAGGCCCUGCUUUUGUGGGGUGCUCGAGUGGCGAACGGGUGAGUAACACGUGAGUAACCUGCCCUUGACUUUGGGAUAACUUCAGGAAACUGGGGCUAAUACCGGAUAGGAGCUCCUGCUGCAUGGUGGGGGUUGGAAAGUUUCGGCGGUUGGGGAUGGACUCGCGGCUUAUCAGCUUGUUGGUGGGGUAGUGGCUUACCAAGGCUUUGACGGGUAGCCGGCCUGAGAGGGUGACCGGCCACAUUGGGACUGAGAUACGGCCCAGAAUCCUACGGGAGGCAGCAGUGGGGAAUUUUGCACAAUGGGCGGAAGCCUGAUGCAGCAACGCCGCGUGCGGGAUGACGGCCUUCGGGUUGUAAACCGCUUUCGCCUGUGACGAAGCGUGAGUGACGGUAAUGGGUAAAGAAGCACCGGCUAACUACGUG
rnacentral:rRNA from 1 species